GACGAACGCUGGCGGCGUGCUUAACACAUGCAAGUCGAACGGUGAAGCGCCUUCCUUUUUGGUGGGUGUGGAUGAGUGGCGAACGGGUGAGUAACACGUGAGUAACCUGCCCCCUUCUUCUGGAUAACCGCAUGAAAGUGUGGCUAAUACGGGAUAUUCUGGGUCUGUCGCAUGAUGGGUCUGGGAAAGAUAUUGUUUCGGUGGGGGAUGGGCUCGCGGCCUAUCAGCUUGUUGGUGGGGUGAUGGCCUACCAAGGCGGUGACGGGUAGCCGGCCUGAGAGGGUGGACGGUCACACUGGGAAGGAGACACGGCCCAGACUCCUACGGGAGGCAGCAGUGGGGAAUAUUGCACAAUGGGCGCAAGCCUGAUGCAACGACGCCGCGUGAGGGAUGGAGGCCUGCGGGUUGUGAACCUCUUUCGCCAGUGAAGCAGGCCUGCCUCGUUUGUGGGUGGGUUGACGGUAGCUGGAUAAGAAGCGCCGGCUAACUACGUG
rnacentral:rRNA from 1 species